GAGUUUGAUCCUGGCUCAGAACGAACGCUGGCGGCAGGCCUAACACAUGCAAGUCGAGCGCUACCUUCGGGUGGAGCGGCGGACGGGUUAGUAACGCGUGGGAAUAUACCCAGUUCUAAGGAAUAGCCACUGGAAACGGUGAGUAAUACCUUAUACGCCCUUCGGGGGAAAGAUUUAUCGGAAUUGGAUUAGCCCGCGUUAGAUUAGAUAGUUGGUGGGGUAAUGGCCUACCAAGUCUACGAUCUAUAGCUGGUUUGAGAGGAUGAUCAGCAACACUGGGACUGAGACACGGCCCAGACUCCUACGGGAGGCAGCAGUGGGGAAUCUUAGACAAUGGGCGCAAGCCUGAUCUAGCCAUGCCGCGUGAGUGAAGAAGGCCCUUGGGUUGUAAAGCUCUUUCGUCGGGGAAGAAAAUGACUGUACCCGAAUAAGAAGGUCCGGCUAACUUCGUGCCAGCAGCCGCGGUAAUACGAAGGGACCUAGCGUAGUUCGGAAUUACUGGGCUUAAAGAGUUCGUAGGUGGUUGAAAAAGUUGGUGGUGAAAUCCCAGAGCUUAACUCUGGAACUGCCAUCAAAACUUUUCAGCUAGAGUAUGAUAGAGGAAAGCAGAAUUUCUAGUGUAGAGGUGAAAUUCGUAGAUAUUAGAAAGAAUGCCAAUUGCGAAGGCAGCUUUCUGGAUCAUUACUGACACUGAGGAACGAAAGCAUGGGUAGCGAAGAGGAUUAGAUACCCUCGUAGUCCAUGCCGUAAACGAUGUGUGUUAGACGUUGGAAAUUUAUUUUCAGUGUCGCAGGGAAACCGAUAAACACACCGCCUGGGGAGUACGACCGCAAGGUUAAAACUCAAAUGAAUUGACGGGGACCCGCACAAGUAGUGGAGCAUGUGGUUUAAUUCGAAGAUACGCGCAGAACCUUACCAACACUUGACAUGUUCGUCGCGACUCUAAGAGAUUAGAGUUUUCGGUUCGGCCGGACGAAACACAGGUGCUGCAUGGCUGUCGUCAGCUCGUGUCGUGAGAUGUUGGGUUAAGUCCCGCAACGAGCGCAACCCUCACUUUUAGUUGCCAUCAUUAAGUUGGGCACUCUGAAAGAACUGCCAGUGAUAAGCUGGAGGAAGGUGGGGAUGACGUCAAGUCCUCAUGGCCCUUACGUGUUGGGCUACACACGUGCUACAAUGGCAUCUACAACAGGAAGCAAAACGGCAACGUUAAGCAAAUCCCGAAAAGAUGCCUCAGUUCGGAUUGCACUCUGCAACUCGAGUGCAUGAAGCUGGAAUUACUAGUAAUCGUGGAUCAGCGUGCCACGGUGAAUGCGUUCCCGGGUCUUGUACACACCGCCCGUCACACCAUGGGAGUUGGUUCUACCUUAAGGCAAGGUUUCAAACCCUUGACCACGGUAUAGUCAGCGACUGGGGUGAAGUCGUAACAAGGUAACC
rnacentral:rRNA from 1 species